AUUUCUAACUUUUUUCUGCAGACAAAACUCUUUCCUGGUAUCUUCAAAUACUGGAAGCAGUAUCAAGAAAAGCUUAUUGAAAAGGUCAAACAAAACCAGAAAGUUGUGCUUGCGGGUGAUUCUAGGCAUGAUAGCAUGGGCCAUAGUGCCAAAUAUGGGAUUUAUUCACUAUACUCAUGUUCAGAGAAUGCAAUUGUUCACUCUGAAGUAGUACAGAAAUUCGAAAAGUUUUGUCAAAAGGCUGCAAAAGAGAAAGAUAUGGGAAUCAUUGGUGAAUGGAUCAGGCCCAUUGAGAAUCAUUUGUUUCGGUCAGCACUGACAACCAGCUAUGGUGAUGGUCGUCUAAUAUGGGCAAAAUUCAAAUCUAUUUUGUGCCACAUUACAAAUAAACACACAGGGUUUAAUGACCCAAUAUUCAACAAGUGUGCUCAUGAUGGUAACAUAUCUGAGAGAAAAUGGCUAAAACCUGCUUAUGAGCGUAUUGAGAAAGAGUUACU